rnacentral:lncRNA from 1 species
CUCAAGGAGGAGGGAGAGGAGAAAUGAGGAAAAAAAGCCAAAUUUUUUCCUUCAAAGGGUACCUUGGGACAGAGGGAGUGCAGAGCAGAGAAAACCUACCUGUGCAACUGAGAAGGCCGCUCAGGCCACGGGGACCGGGCAGGAAUGCUCUCAGGAGUGUCCUCUGCACCUGAACUUGAUUUCACGCCAUCACCUUCCGCCUCUUAACCAGCAUCUCCUGGACAGUCAGCCGAGUGUUUCCAUGAUACCAGCCAUACCUGAUGCCAGGAGACUCGCUACACUUGGAAGCUCUUCAAGAUGUGUAUUGAAUUUGCAGAAGGCCUCUUUUCCAAAUGAUCAAUGA